UUCCCCGGGCUCGGGCUGUUGGGCGUUGUAGGAGGCAGGGCUCUGAAUCAGGUGGACUUUUGGGAUGAGCCGGAGAAGCUGUUUUUGUUUCCUCCUCGGAGGCUAACACGUGUUGUCAUGAGUUUAAAGCAGGCCGCGUAAGAUGUCCACCACCCCUUCCUGUGUUGCAGCUGUCAUCUCUCAGCAAACAAUUAUUUUCCCUCUUCUUUUUUACAGCAGCGUCUCAACAUGACCAAUAUCCCCUGUAAAGGUAACAGCAUGUCUAACUUCCAUAGCCAGAGUAUUUCAGAAGUAAAGGCAAAUCUCUUUUGUUGCACAGAUGUUCCUUAUGUAAUUGUUUUCGAUGGAUAAAUUUCUGUUCAUGUUUUCCAAGAGUUGCUGAUGCCCCCUGGGUCUGACAUCCAAGCUAUUAGUAUUCCCAUGUAGCAGCAUAUCAAUGGUUCUUUCAAACCAUUCUUACUGGUAACUGCACUGAUAAUCUUAGUAGAGGCCUGCCUUAUCUAAUGACUGUGUGAUUAUAUCAUUCAAGUGGGAUAUGGAAGAAUCUAAUUUCUGUUUCUAAACCUGCACCUUGGCCUUUCUCCAAGUUCCCUGCCUUGUGUGCUAGCUGAGGCAAGUUUAACAAUGUGGCAGACCCAGGUGGGUUUCUUUCUUUGCAGCCCCUGGUAAUGUCUGUUACUUUUGAUCUCUUAGUGGAUUUGCAGCUUGACAGAAUAAGCACUGAGAACGCUAUGUUUGAUGAACAUCUGCUUGGAACCCAGCAGCGAUGUCCUACCUGCCUAGGUCUGCCACACUGCAACAUGGCAGCAGAGAAGCUAGCAGCCAUCUCCAGUCAGCUACAUUCCCAAACCAAGAUCGUCGAAUUGCUCACUCAGUCUGUGAAUCGACUGAAGCAAGAGAAAGAGUUCCAGCAGCAGCGGAUCAGUAACUUGGAAGAGGAUGUUCAACGACUGCAGAACAGCUUGUACAGUAACUUGGAGACCUUGCUAAGGAGGAUAGAUGAGCUGAAGAGCGAACACCGUAAACAGCCACAGAAAGUGUUUCAUCAGCCCCAUGGAGACUGUGAAUCCCGUCUACAUCCCCAUUUCAGCAGUCCUCAAGAAAUGAAAGAGAGCAGUGAAAAACUACUGCGGCAAGAUUAUGUCUCCAUGAGGAAAGAGCUGGAGCAACUGAAGCAUAAAGUCAAUCAACAAGAGGAAGAACUAUUGAACCAGAUGUCUGCAGCUAAUGAAAUUAAGAGAACUCAAAGUCGAUACUGCACGGUGUUGGAAGAUCUGUUGAGCAACCACAAAACGCAGUCCUACAGUUUAGACCAACCUAGAAUGGAAAUGAAGAGCACCCAGCAAGAGCUCAGCCACAUCAGAUCUACAGUCGCUGACCUGAAAGAGCAAGUGAAAAGUCUGUUCUUGAAGGAGAUGCUAUCUGCUGAGCCUAUAGAGAAGGACAGAAUUCAUUGGACUUUGUGUACCCUGGGACCUGUUGUCUGCUGCCUUGUGCCAUCAAUUGUACUCGUGCAAGAAGGAGUAAAAUGCCGUUACAUCACAAUAGCGGCAGUUUCCCCAAGUGAGAGAAGCAAGAGCUUGCUGAGAGAAGCAGAGGGUUUUUCUCCAUCCUCAGGUGAAGACUCCUCUUCAGAGCUCAGCCUCAAAGACUUGAGCUCUGAUGAGCUUUCCAGCAUCAUAGAGAUCAAGGUGCCUGAAGAGCCGAAAGAUAUCUCCACGCUGUGUUUUGAGCUGGAGGAGAGUAAUGCUGGAGAAGAGGCUGGAAAUAUGCUGGAUGCAGACGAUGACCUCAGCAGUGAGCUGUCUGACAGUCUGCCUGAACUCCAUCUGAGUGACCUUUAAUGCUCAGCCAAAGGAAGCCCAUUUACCAUAGGGAGCAAAUAAAAGGUGGAAAAGGAAAGGGAGACAAGAAAUGCUGCAAAGUUUGCCAGAGGUCCCACAUAGAGGGCAGAAGCAGAGGGGGAGGCCAGGAACUGAAUCUCUCCGUCCUCUUACCUCCAAACGCAGCACAGGUUCACACUGGGAGGCAGAGCCGCGGGAAGGGGUUCAGGCAGCCCCUCUGCCCUCCCAGUCCCUCUGGGGCAGGGCCUGCUCCAGCAGCCUGUCUUUACCCCCCUCCCCAUCAAGCCCCACGCUCCUGUCCUGGGGGUCGGUGUCUCUACACCCUCUACUCUGGGGCACCUUUUUAGAGGAUUUUAUUUUAAGUGCCACCUGAGACAUGAUUCUGCAAGAAACUUUGGUAAGUCUUCCUCGGUUCAUUGAGAAAGGGAAGAAAAGUCAGAAGUGGGGCCAAAAAAAAAAAAAAGUGGAGGAAAAAGUGGAAGUAGUUCCUCUAUCUCCCUUGGCCCAAUGAACUAUAGAAAACUGAUGUUUAAAAAGUCUACGGCUGGCAAGAGUGAAGCAUAUAUUGCUAGCCAUCUUAACAGCGCAGGCUUGCUGCUAGAAAGAAAGGUAAAAUAGGUAGUAAGGGAGUACUGCAGCUAACAAAGACUGUAUAGAAGCCGGGGUUGUGCUCAGGAAGCCGCCUUCACGAGCUAUUUAUGAACACAUCAUCACCAUAAAGUGUGACUGUUGUCAUAGAAAUGGGGAGGGACUCAGCCUCCAGCAAACAGGGGCAGCUCCCUCGCAGGGACCUGCCGUGAGCCAGGAUCCCCCGGGGCUGCUGCCGCUGCCAGACAGCGCACCGGAGGAGGAAACCCACAAAGCUCCUAUGCUGCCAGUUAACAAACACGGAUCUUGGGAGCAAAGACUUUUGGAAGGGCGUAAACAGGAAAAAACAAAGAAGUGUAGCCACACCAGCAUGGACUCUCUGGGCAAUUUAAAAACAUUGCAUGGCCAAUAUUUUGAUUAUUUCUGUCCCAAGUUUCUACCCAAGCCACUGAGGCAUGACAAACCAACUGCAGGAAAAAAUAAAGGUAUUGAGGAAAAAUCCAUCUUCAUGCCCACUCUCUCUGUCCUGGAGGAGCAUCCAAGGCAGAUGCUGAAACAAAGAAAUAUUCAUCCGCCGACAAAGCAGACCACUCCAGUACAAAGGCUUUGAGAAAAUCUCAGCAGCUUUUAAAAGCUCUUCAGACGGGACACUCUUCUCUAGCUACAGCACUUAACAGGCCCUAAAAAAAGACACAAUACAUCUCCCUCGGGAGACCUUUGCAGUACCCGGACUGGCGGGAGAGUUCAGACCUGGGAAGCAGGAGGAGGAGGAUGCGCUUCCCCCGCCGGGGCCCCAGGCCCACCCGGGCUCGCGCGGGGGAAGCACAAGUCGGCAGGGCAACGCCACUCGAAACGGUCAGGGAAUGAGCUCUCGAGGAGUCUCAGCUGGGGCAACUUAAACGCGACAACCAAAAGUGUAAGUGCUGCUCCCUUCAGCCUUGCCUGGAUCCUGCUGCAACAUGCCUCUAAACAGAAAGCAAACUCUGAGACAGCGCUAAGGUGGAGGAUACGCUUGCAAUAGUAAUACCUGGAAGGAAAAGAGCUGGGCGCUGCAUGCCCAGGGAUCAGGCGCUGAAGCUCACAGCUCUUCACAUUUCUAGUGUUGCUAUUUGGGGCGCUGCUCACUGAGCAACAUCCCAGCAGCUCCAUAGCUGGGGGAUGCAGCAGCCACUCCCUCUGAAUACCUGCUCCGGGUGCCCGGCCAGCAGCAAGCCCAGCUGCGUGCUGCCUGGAAUAACUGCCCGGCAGCAGCCCCGGGUGGUGAGCUAUAAUCAGGGCCCCAUAAAGAUUUGGGGAGAGCUGUCUUGCACGAAGGCCUGAGCAGCUCUGACCCAGCUGUGCCAUUUUCUGACUAGGAAAGGAAAAUCUGGGGGAGGUGGAAGAGCUGGGUCCUCCACGGCAGGGCACCUCUCCAGUGCCGGGGGCUGGCGUCCCUGCCAGGAGGGCUGCCUGCAGCAAGGCCACCCCGGCCCUGCUCUGGGAUGGAUUAUGCACACAGCUCCCUGUGCCUGUGAGGAGAGCCGAGGGGAGCAAUAUUUCCCCUCUGUAACUCUUCCUGCCCUGGUGGACAGGCUGCUCUGGCCCUGCAUCCUGCGAGAACAUAAUGGGACGGUUUUGGAAGGGCUCGUGCCUUAGUGACAGCUCGCCUGGGCCUGGCGUGAGGAAGGCAGGACAUGCAGACACAGCACUGCAGGGUGCAAAACCCCAUUUGUAGAGAAUUGCAAUAGCAGUGUUCGGAUUGGCAGGUUCGGAGCCUCGGAGCAGGGCAGGGUUGAUGGCACCUACAUUAGCAGGUCCUCGAGCCCAGCACACCUCAGCACACCCAUCCCAGGAAACAAAGGAGAGCCUAAAAAAAGGGAGAGCCUAAGCCAGGCUAAACACAAAGACUCAAGCCAUUAAGAGAUGAUGGUGGGAAGAUAGAGAACAAGGCAGGAGCCAUAACAUGGACAAGGAGACAAAGGACAGUCAUCACUCAGGGACGGAUGGACAAAAGAGCACCACUCCUGUCUGUCCCUUCACAAGGGGUACAUCCACCCCAGGAUACAUCCAAAGCCAGCACAGUCACCACACAAAGCACCAGGGGAAAUACCCGAUACAUGCAUCUUGGUGCUUGGAAGCACGUGGCUAUGACAGCAAGAGCACCAAUGAGUUUUACUUCAGUUUUGUGGGUCUUGAAUUAAGAUUUGCUUUGCAUUAAGAUUACAGUGUUGUUGCAGCAUCACAACUUUGUUUUCCACAGUUUUACCACCAAAAUAGGUACUUACUGCAACCCGUUCCCACCCAACCCUGGUGCAAACUAUGCAGCACCACAGGGCAGAGCACAGCCUGCUGCAAAGCCACAGUGGCCAGCUGUGGCUGGAUGAGACGCGAUAAACCCCAUGCUGUGACAUGACUCCCCAGCGUCCAGCCACUGGGGUUUGUGCUGCCUCCUUGGUGUCCAACAGCUGGGAAGAUCCCCAGCUUCCAGCGCUGUCCCUGUCAGCUCUUUGUCGGUUACUUAGAGAGAUGUGGGUCAGAGCUUGUUACACUGGCGGCUUCCUGGAGGAGCUCUGCUCCCAGCGCCAGAUGCCAGUGAGGCUCUGGUUGCGCUGCCUCGGGCAUCGGGCACCUGCAGACACGACUCCAGUCAGGAAUAGGCCCCUCCAGUCUCAGGCGGAGGGGAAGGAGUUGGUGCGGACACUUUACCUCCACCUUCCCUGGGACCCUUCGAGGCACGAAAGCUGCACGAAAGCUGCAGCGGGUGAAGCCCGUCACCCUUACACUGUAUAAAAGCAACGACGACCAUAACCCAAGUGGAGAAGCCAGACCAGCUCAGAGCAAGAGCUCUGAUAUAGCAGUUAUGCCGAACGCUGAACCAGCCAGCCCCUGGCUACGGCCCCUCUCCUGCCCCCUGGGCCCUGCUCACUGCUUGGCUUGGCCUGGCGGUGGUGGGAACCAGCAGUCUCAGGCCACGUUAGAGCAGGGCUGGGGGAUUUUGGAGCGGCAGCCCUCAUCAGCCAGCACUGACUGCAGUGACCUUUGCCUGGGAAACAGGGAGGUGAAGGAAAAGAGCUGCCCCGAGACAGUUCGGAUGCAACCAGCUGGGAAGGCCGUGUCAUGGUGGGAACGGGUGGGAAGCGUUCCUCGCUCCGGGAGGGAAGACAGGGCUCCCAGAUCAGCCCACAGCUUCGGUCCCCUCCCAGCGCAGCCGAUAGCACUGACGGAGCUCCCACCGGCUCUGGGGUGGACACAGGGGUGGACAUGCCCUAACAGAGAGGGGCGAAGGAAGCCAGCGCCACAGGAGAUGGGGCUCAUCCCACUUGGCGCUCUCUGCUGUGUUUCGGGGCCGGGGCCAAGCAAAGAGCUGAGGAAGGUUUGCACAGGAAGGUUUGCAUGAUCGGAGGCAGAGCCAUGGUGUGUUUAGCCGGGGAAAGAUGCUGCCUGACAAACAGCUUUGGU